GCCGGUGGUGAUGCGCUUAGGGGGCACACCCGUUCCCAUCCCGAACACGAUGGUUAAGACCUAAGCGGCUGAUGGUACUGCACUGGAGACGGUGUGGGAGAGUAGGUGGCUGCCGGCU
rnacentral:rRNA from 1 species